CCUUGGAUAGCUCAACUGGUAGAGCAGUAGAUUGCUAAUCUACGUGUCGUGGGUUCGAGUCCCACUCCAAAUGCCC
rnacentral:tRNA from 1 species